rnacentral:lncRNA from 1 species
GAUGUCUGUGUCAGAAGCAGCCGUCCCUGGGGAGGAAGUAGGAAGAGUGAAAGCUAAAGAUCCAGACAUUGGAGAAAAUGGCUUAGUCACAUACAAUAUUGUUGAUGGAGAUGGUAUGGAAUCGUUUGAAAUCACAACGGACUAUGAAACACAGGAGGGGGUGAUAAAGCUGAAAAAGGUGAGUUAGGGUAAGGAAUCAGACGUGUCAGUGGUAUGGCCUGCUCUGCCAAGGCAACACUGCAAGAAACAGGGAGGCGACGGUUAAGAAAUGAGAAUUUGCGAAACCAGGGGCUGACCUGACUUUGUAGUUGAGCUCUGAGCUCUGGAAGAUCACAGAAUUGUAUUCCUUUCUGUUACUGCAGAGAAGCUGACAAAGGGGCUGGUGAUACCUGCCUGAGAUUGCUAGUUAGUUCUUAAAUGUUUUCCGAUGGAGGGAAGCACAGUUCUCCCAUGGAGGGAAGGACAAUGAGAUAAAUCUAGAUUUUGAAGAAGCAGCCCUGAGCAUGCAUGGAAUUCCCCCCUUAGCUCUGCCACACUGAAUCUGUUAGAUAAGCUGUUCAGAACUCUUACUGUUUCAACAUUCAAGAUUCACUGCAUUGCUGGACCCUCUGUGAAACUGAAGCCUUCUCUACUUGUUUUUAUCUCAAGUGAACCUGGAGAAGCAACAAUAAUGGACCUUCUCCCCUAGUCAAAGAGCCUGUGGACCUCCCCUCAUAGUCAGUCUCCAAAAACAUGUAUCUGGAAUUAAUUUAUUACAAAGAGAAGUUUAGUGUUUCUUCUUUUUUACAUGCGCUCAAUACUGACUACUGGCCAGACACAGCACCAUCCUCUUACAAACAUCAUUUCAUUUACUUUUCACAAAAACAAACAAAAGUAUGAAGUAGGUAGUGUUAUCCCAAUGGGCAAAGAGACCUCAACUUAAUUUUGAGGAGAUUGGGGCUCAGACAGAUGAAAUCAUUUGACCCAGUCACUGUCAUAUAGCUCAGGCAUGCCGACCUGGAAUUCACACCUUAGUUAUUCUAGAACAACUUCCCUCUCAAGACAUUUUGAAAACAGCUGGCCUGGAAAGCGUUUGUAAAGAAGAGCCAGAUAAGAUUCACUUCCAAGUGAAGAAAUAAUUCCCGUACAUUCUAAAAAGGUUUCCCCCCGUGAUUUACCACUUGAGAAAUCAACACCUCUCCAUCAUGAAAGUGUAUGGAGCAUUAAAUCGGAAUUGGAAGAUGGGAUUACCUUGGUUUUAAUCAAGCGUUCAUUUUCAACUUAGUUUUAUAGCAUGAAUAUUAAACUCCUUGGUGCGAUGGAAAAGACUGGACUCUAACACUGAUAGAAAAUUAAUUUGAAGCAUCAAUAAAGAGGCCAGUAGCUAAAGAGGAGGGAAGGACCAGUGGGGGAAGACAGGUCCUGAAAGGAAUCUUUCAGGUGGGGGAGCAAGGAGUGACCUGUGCUAAGAAACUGACCUUUCACAGACUUUUAAAGUAUGUUGGGGUUGGGGAAAAUAUUAUAGAGCACAAAACAAAGAAAAGGUAGGGGGUGAUUGUUAUAAAAAAAGAAAGAAAAUGAAGGAUAUGGAAAUUGGGGUGAAAUUUGGAUACUUGGAAAAGUCUACAUUAAUGGAUGAAUGGUAGGACCGAGGAAGCCUAAUUAUCAACCACAGGGAGCUAGGGCAGUCACUAAUUCUGGUUUCUCCUCUGGAAAAGUAGCUGUGUGAAUUGUGUGUUGCCUAGAGCUGUCAACUUACUUCGUUAAUUAAUAUUACUAUCUCUUCUGCUUGACACUGACAUAUGAACAUUGACAUCAGCAAUUCCUGCCUCCCAUCCUUUGCUGUUCAUGUAAUUGGGUAGUUGGUUAUGCUAAGGUUGUCACCUGUUUUUAGUGUAUUCAGGGCAUAAACACACACUGUAUCUCUGAAAUCCUGAAACAUUUAAAUCACCCCCAUGGAACUCACACGUCGCAAAUGAGCUCUCUGCAUAUGAUUAAUUUGCACAUUUGCCUCCAAUUCAGUGUGUUUAUUCUAGGCAAAGGAAUAAUCUUCUAUAAAGCACUGAUGCUUAGGUUUUAAAUAGUGUAAGAUGUUAUUGCAUUUGUAAAAGAACAUUUGCUCAAACUUCUAGCACAAAGUUCCAAAUGUCCACCGGGGGAAAAAAAAGAAAAAUUAUAGAUGAAUUUAACAGAGUAAAAAUAUGACUCCUUGUGAAAGUCAUUCCAUGCAAUUUAAUACUGUAAAAGUCUAUAGAGACAUUAUGGCAAUAUUUCUGCAUUUUAAAGUAUUUUUUAACUUAGUGUUUUUAUUUAUUUCCUAAUUUAUUCACCCAUUUUUCCACCAAGAGUUAUUGAGUUCUUACUAUUUGUCAGGCAGGCCCUUUGCCAGAGGCUGGAAAUCUAAAGUUGAAGAGGCAGAGUCUUGACCACAGGGAGUUCACAAUUUAACAGGACAGUGAAGUGAUACAAUAAUUAAAACCGAGAGGGUUUUCUCAGCCUUAGCAGUGUUGAUGUCUAGGGCUGGAUAAUUCUUUGUUGUAGGAGGCUGUUCUGCGCAUUGUAGGAUAUUUGGUAGUAUCUAGUAUCCCAGGCUUCCCCUCACUAAAGGUCAUUAAGCACGUGCUCUACCCCACCCAACAGUCCUGAUAAUAAUAAUAAAAAUAAUUACUCUAGACAUUGCCUAAUAGCCCUGGAGUAACUGGGAGCAAAAUCACUCCCCAGUUGAAAAUUGACUGCAAUAGUGUGAUAAGGCCUAUGCACAUGGGACAUGAAUGACUUCUUGUGGGGGCAGUUCUCAAGCUGAGUCUUGAUAGAUGAGGAGAAAUUUGCUGGAUAGUUAAGGACAGAAAAGGCAGAAAAAAUAACUCAUGAUGGGCUAGUAUCAAUGGAAACAGGACACAUUUAAGAAACUGCAAUACCUUCAAUCUUGAGAAUCUUAAGAUAUAUACGGUAAAACCAACAAACAAACUUGUUAAAAUUCAAGGGAGAUGUUACAAAGAAUUGAAGAAGGUAGAAGAGGUAGUGAGAUAGUAGUGAAGGAGAAGAAUUCAAGAAAUAAUUACUAGAUAGAAUCAUUCAUUUAUUGAAUAUUUUAGAAAACAAUAAAUACCUCUUGAGUUCUGACUGUGUCUUAGUUUAAUAGUGCACAGGAAAGAGAGAAACUACCCUUGGGGUAUUUGGACAAUCUCUGUGUGGUUAGCUGAGGAAGAACCAGGGUCAAAUAAAGAUGAGGUUUUAGGUGGCUUCGUGGACUUAGAGGGGAAAAUCCAAUCUGUUCACGCAGCACCUUUGACUAAAUGGGAAUCCCAUCUAUCUCAGAGAAAUCACCGCACAGUGUCUGAGCUAUUUAUUUUCAACCAGAUAAACUCCUUGAAAAGCAGUGUCAGAGCAGAAUUAUAAGGCAUUUUUAAUAUUCCCUGUUUUAAUAAAACUCUUUUUAUGUUUGAUUUUUCUUUAUAUUCUUUGUCCGCACGUAUAUAGAUGUGGAUACAUAACAUUUAACACGGUUGCAAUCAGAGGGUGAUCUGAUUUGUUAACUUAAUGUCACAUCAUAAACAUUUUACAUGCUGUUAUAUAAUGUACAUAAUCAUUUUUAAUGACUACAUAACAUCCCAUCCUAUUGACGAAUCAUUAUGUCCUUAAUAAAAUCUCACAGUUGGA